rnacentral:rRNA from 1 species
GACGAACGCUGGCGGCGUGCUUAACACAUGCAAGUCGAACGAUGAACCCGGAGCUUGCUCCGGUGAAUUAGUGGCGAACGGGUGAGUAACACGUGAGUAACCUGCCCUUGACUCUGGGAUAACUGCUAGAAAUGGUAGCUAAUACCGGAUACGACCCUCGGCGGCAUCGCCAGGGGGUGGAAAGAAUUUCGGUCAAGGAUGGACUCGCGGCCUAUCAGCUAGUUGGUGAGGUAACGGCUCACCAAGGCGACGACGGGUAGCCGGCCUGAGAGGGUGACCGGCCACACUGGGACUGAGACACGGCCCAGACUCCUACGGGAGGCAGCAGUGGGGAAUAUUGCACAAUGGGCGCAAGCCUGAUGCAGCAACGCCGCGUGAGGGAUGACGGCCUUCGGGUUGUAAACCUCUUUCAGCUCCGACGAAGCGCAAGUGACGGUAGGAGCAGAAGAAGCACCGGCCAACUACGUGCCAGCAGCCGCAGUAA